rnacentral:rRNA from 1 species
GACGAACGCUGGCGGCGUGCUUAACACAUGCAAGUCGAACGGGCCUUGUCCCCUUUUUUUUUGGGGGUGGGGUUAGUGGCGAACGGGUGAGUAACACGUGAGUAACCUGCCCCUCACUUCUGGAUAACCGCUUGAAAGGGUGGCUAAUACGGGGUGUUCUGGCCUGCUCGCAUGGGUGGGUUUGGAAAGAUUCGACCGGUUUUGGUUGUUUUGGUGGGGGAUGGGCUCGCGGCCUAUCAGCUUGUUGGUGGGGUGAUGGCCUGCCAAGGCUUGGACGGGUAGCCGGCCUGAGAGGGUGGGCGGUCACACUGGGACUGAGACACGGCCCAGACUCCUACGGGAGGCAGCAGUGGGGAAUAUUGCACAAUGGGCGCAAGCCUGAUGCAGCGCCGCCGCGUGAGGGAUGGAGGCCUUCGGGUUGUGAACCUCUUUCGCCAGUGAAGAAGGUCCUGCUCUUUGUGGUGGGGUUGACGGUAGCUGGGUUAAUGAAGCGCCGGCUAACUACGUG